rnacentral:rRNA from 1 species
GUCCUAGCUGUAAACGAUGGGCACUGGGUAGAGGGAGCGUCGAUACUCUCUUUGCCGAAGCAAAUGUGUUAAGUGCCCCGCCUGGGGAGUACGGUCGCAAGGCUAAAACUCAAAGGAAUUGACGGGGGCUCACACAAGCGGUGGAGCAUGUGGUUCAAUUCGAAGCAACGCGAAGAACCUUACCCGGGUUUGAAAUCCACGGAUAGGUCCGGUGAAAGCUGGAUACCUUGCCCGCAAGGGUGAAACGUGGACAGGUGUUGCAUGGCUGUCGU